AAGCCCGGAGGAAGGUGGGGAUGACGUCAAGUCAUCAUGCCCCUUAUGUCCUGGGCUGCACACGUGCUACAAUGGCCGGCACAAUGGGCUGCGAUACCGCGAGGUGGAGCGAAUCCCAUAAACCGGCCCCAGUUCGGAUCGAAGGCUGCAACUCGCCUUCGUGAAGUCGGAGUUGCUAGUAAUCGCGGAUCAGCAUGCCGCGGUGAAUACGUUCCCGGGCCUU
rnacentral:rRNA from 1 species